CGAAUGAAGAGAUUYAUCGUCAGCGUAUUCAGUAUUAAUGCAGGCUAUGAUGUGAUGAUAGAAUCCUUGUGGUCACUAGAUUAUACUUGCUUGUAUUAUUUUUGCUGGGUAGGUCGGCGUGCACUUCUCUUCUAGUAGAACGUCGCAACCCGUUGGAUGUUUAUUUAUGGCCUAAAUGGUAGCCUCUGAUAUUUUAAAAUAUCGAAGACCUUUGGUGUCCUGAUAAGCUGUYUGACGGUAAACAUAUAGUAUUGAGCCGCAAUUAUUUGCGUUAGACUUACCGCAAGUAAGAUUUUAGUCUAGUAGUGCAGAUCUAAUGCUGUCGCUGGGCAAAGUCUACUGUUAGCUGUGUAAUGUCUUUAACUGGCUUAUUUACUGGUUAGCGAUG
rnacentral:rRNA from 1 species